UUUACCUACAUGUGCCUAAAGAACUUUCACUUCAAAAAGAUGCGGAAGUUUUACAACACGUUUUUAUCAGUCAAAUCAACACAAAAUUAAAAAAAUUCAAAAUCAUUGAAACGUUGUGAACGUUUUAAUCCGGUAAAAAGUUAUACGUAUCAUAUAAGGCUAAAUGUUUGCUUUAUUAAGCUGGGUAAAGUCCCGCGUUGAUAACUAAAUCGUAUGACUAAGUGUGAAUACAUAUGAUAUUAUUCCUGGAAUCUCAAUAGGUAAACACUCAAUAAAGAUAAUUAUUUAAUAGAGACGCCAUAGAAAUUCUUGUCAAAAGAUAUUACUUAUUAAUUAUUGUAAUAUGAAUACUUAUAAACCAAGAUAAACUCAUAGAUCUAAAUAAAUAUAUUUUAUCAAGAUAUUUCAAAAUUAAUCUGACUAUUUGUACGAUUGCUUUUCUAGCUACAAAAUAAUGCGUAAAAACAUUUACAAUCAACAAUCAGUAAUUCAAGUCAAAUACUCCGAGUUAUUACGUUUUAAUACCGGCCAUAUCUUAAAAUAAAGCCUGUAUGUAUGCUUCGAAAACAAAACCAAUUUACUUACUGUUCUCCACGACUUGGCAUUUUCAUUAAAUUAUACAUAUUAUAACUGUUUAAUGUAUAAUCUAUUGUCGUUUUAUCAGUACAAGGAAACUGAAUUACGGCCUAAUUUAAAUGAGUAAAGCCGCACUGAGCCGCACAAAGGCGCCUUUUGCAAACAUUUUAAUAAUAAUCUUAUCACAGAAGUAUUUCCAAGUACCUAUCGUUAUAAAGGAACAAUGUUAUCACGCCACACACAUUCAUUCUGUUAAAGAUCAAAUUUGCGUGAGUUGAAACAUUUUAUCAACUUGCAAUUCAGUAAAAGAGAAAUUGACUCCGGGUAUUCCCUCUACAUCCAAUAUUUAUAUACUCCUCGAGUAACUGGUUGUAGAAACCCGUAUGUGACUUGUAAUAUAACAUAGCUAUUCAUUGCUUACUGUCGAUGUAUCUGCUCAAGCCGUGUGCGUGGUAACGGCACGGUGUUUACGAUAUGCGAUAAUAUCGUGACGAUAUAUUUGUUGAUAACAUCGUGGUACAGGUCAAAAGGCAAUGCAUCUGAGUAUGGAGGUAUAUAAAUAACUCAAUCUGUGCUGUCAUUUUACAGAUUUCAAUUGGUUUCCACGAUGAAGACGUUUGUAUUUCUUGCUGUUCUAUUUGUGGUAGUCGCUUUUGUAGCUUCUACGGACGACACAGAGGGAAGUGUCAAUACAAUGAUCAAACGACUACCAAGGGACACAAUCUUUGUGAAACCACCCCCUGGAUGUGGGAUGCCAUUUUGGGAAUGCAGAAACCGUUGCAUCCGCAGUGGUCACCUCAGUGGAGGGUAUUGCACAAUGACUGGUUGUGUAUGUCUUCGAUAGAUCAAAAGGAAUAAAAGUUUCUUAAUGACGCAAUUUUAAA